rnacentral:rRNA from 1 species
UACGGAGGGUGCAAGCGUUAUCCGGAUUCACUGGGCUUAAAGGGUGCGUAGGUGGGCAGGUAAGUCAGUGGUGAAAUCCUUGAGCUUAACUCGAGAACUGCCAUUGAUACUAUCUGUCUUGAAUGUUGUGGAGGUGAGCGGAAUAUGUCAUGUAGCGGUGAAAUGCUUAGAUAUGACAUAGAACAUCUAUUGCGAAGGCAGCUCACUACGCAAAUAUUGACACUGAGGCACGAAAGCGUGGGGAUCAAACAGG